ensembl:lncRNA
UAUAGAGGAACUACUGAAACUGUACUGAUCUGUGAAGAGGCUUUACCAGUGCAAUUAAUGUAUUUAUCACAUCCAAAUUCCCUGUGCAUUAGUUUUACUGGCAUUGUGCAGAUGACAGAUUUAUUUAUUUAUUUAUUUAUUUAUUUAUUUAUUGUGCACUGGAGCAUAUUUCAGCUCAAAUAACAGUGUAUGCAGGUGGCUGGAGUAGAACAGUAUUUCCACUUAAGACGAACCAGAACCAAACAAAUGCGUGGCUUCAUGAAAUACCUGUGCAAUUCCUACAACAUCCCUGUGCUACCUGGACCAGAACGUCAUCCUGUCUGUCAUUAGGAGUGUACUGGCUGACUUAGGUUGAAAUAGCAAUGCUGGCAAGUGUUUGAAGCAAAGCAGAUUGUAAGCCUAUCUUGUAGCAACGCCAGCCAACACACUUCACUAAUAGCAACCAGAAUAGCUUGGAAAUUUACAUGAUUGAUACAUAAAUAGAAGAAAAAUAGAAUGCACAGAGGACAAGAGAGAGAGAGAGAGAAUUCUGGUAUCACACAUUUACUCUUUCUAUGAAUCUGAAGCUGUUGGAAAACCCACUGGAAAAUCUAUCAUUAUAGAAGACGAAUGGAACUUGGACCAAUGUCAAAGCCUUUGAAAAGAUACUUUUUAGUCAGGAAUAAUUCAAUUAUUACUGAAUUAUAUAAAUUCAAUAAUAAAUAUAAUUAUAAUAUAUACAGUAUGUAUAAUAUAUAAUUAUAAUAUAAUAUAAUUAUAAUCAAUAUAAAUAAUAAUAAUAAAUAAUAAUAAUUUUAAAAAAGAUUAACUGGUGGUAGUCAGACAAAAAGACCAAAUAAGUGAUUAAACAAAAUUCUCAUACCACAACAUUUUCUGGAGCACUUCAUGAUGUUCGAAUGCUAUAUCAAAGUGUAAACAAAGUGUGAACAUAUCACAUCAGUUCAACCAAGGUAUGAUUUGUAUGAGUGUGGUGGAAUACAUUGAAAUGUUGAUCAUGUAGCACGUUAGUGAGCUGUGUAUUGACAGGGAGCUUCCAUAGUCAAGGUGUUGCUUUUGAUUGCUUGUUAAACUCUCUCAGUGAUUUGUGACUAAUCUAUAUCUAAUUUGAAGUAUUCAAUAGAAUCUCUUGCAUCUCUAUGUUGAAGGCCCUUUUCUUUGAUACAGUUUGUUCUGAAUUUUAUUACCCCCUGAUUUCAGUUAAACAUGUGCAUACGCCUUAAGACAGCAAGUCUAAUGACUCAUAAUUAGUUUGAUAGCCAGCCCUAUUAGACAAUCCACAAAAUUUUCCUCUCCACCUCUUAAUCUGAUGAUCUGUGACCACUUCAAGGGAAUUACAACAUGAGAUAUUGCAAAAUAUGCAUUAGGAUGAAUAAUGUUAUUUGUGUAUGAUUGCAACUGUAAUUGUUUAAGCAUCAGCAUCAGGCACUCUCAGCAUAAGCCUGACUCUCAACUGCCUUUCCAGUUCUGUGUAGAGCUUGCCUCACAUUGGGAGCAAGGUACCAGUCUUAGCUGUUGCAUUUUCCUCAUUAUUAGAUAAGACUUUGAUUUACAUAAAUGAUACUGACCACGAUGUGGAUGCACUUAGUUUGCCUUUGUGAAGCUUGAAUUUGUCUACCUGAAAUCUUAAACUUCUGUUGGUAGAAUAUACAUAAACUAGCUUUUAAAGAUCACAUUUUCAAAAC